GAUGAUGUAGAGUUUUUGAACUAUUCUAAAAGUUUGAAUACAUUAUAUUUGAUUUUGUGAAAUAUAUUCAUUGCUAUAAUAUAUUGAACUAUUGUAAGAGUACUUUUUGAACUAUUGUGUACACAUAUUUAGAAUAUUGCUUUAUAAGUAUGUGUAUGUACACAAGACAUACUAUCUUUUGAAGUUCAUUGCAAAUCUAUAUAUUUGAAUUA
rnacentral:lncRNA from 1 species